rnacentral:rRNA from 1 species
UACAGAGGUGGCAAGCGUUGUUCGGAAUUACUGGGCGUAAAGGGCGCGUAGGCGGCCCGAUAAGUCCCGCGUGAAAGCCCCCGGCUCAACUGGGGAACUGCGCGGGAAACUAUCGGGCUUGAGUUUGGGAGAGGGAUGCGGAAUUCCAGGUGUAGCGGUGAAAUGCGUAGAUAUCUGGAGGAACACCGGUGGCGAAGGCGGCAUCCUGGACCAACACUGACGCUGAGGCGCGAAAGCCAGGGGAGACGAAACGGG